UGCAAGUCGAGCGCGCCCUUCGGGGCGAGCGGCGAACGGGUGAGUAACACGUGGGAACGUGCCCUUCUCCACGGAAUAGCCUUUGGAAACGAAGAGUAAUACCGUAUACGCCCUUCGGGGGAAAGAUUUAUCGGUGAAGGAUCGGCCCGCGCCCGAUUAGGUAGUUGGUGGGGUAAUGGCCCACCAAGCCGACGAUCGGUAGCUGGUUUUAGAGGACGAUCAGCCACACUGGGACUGAGACACGGCCCAGACUCCUGCGGGAGGCAGCAGUGGGGAAUCUUGGACAAUGGGGGAAACCCUGAUCCAGCCAUGCCGCGUGAGUGAAGAAGGCCCUAGGGUCGUAAAGCUCUUUCGCCAGGGAUGAUAAUGACAGUACCUGGUAAAGAAACCCCGGCUAACUCCGUGCCAGCAGCCGCGGUAAUACGGAGGGGGUUAGCGUUGUUCGGAAUUACUGGGCGUAAAGCGCACGUAGGCGGGCUGGAAAGUCGGGGGUGAAAUCCCGGGGCUCAACCCCGGAACUGCCUUCGAAACUCCCAGUCUGGAGUUCGGGAGAGGUGAGUGGAAUUCCGAGUGUAGAGGUGAAAUUCGUAGAUAUUCGGAAGAACACCAGUGGCGAAGGCGGCUCACUGGCCCGGUACUGACGCUGAGGUGCGAAAGUGUGGGGAGCAAACAGGAUUAGAUACCCUGGUAGUCCACACCGUAAACGAUGAAUGCCAGUCGUCGGGCAGCAUGCUGUUCGGUGACGCACCUAACGGAUUAAGCAUUCCGCCUGGGGAGUACGGUCGCAAGAUUAAAACUCAAA
rnacentral:rRNA from 1 species